GACGAACGCUGGCGGCGUGCUUAACACAUGCAAGUCGAACGGAAAGGCCCUGCUUUUGUGGGGUGCUCGAGUGGCGAACGGGUGAGUAACACGUGAGUAACCUGCCCUUGACUUUGGGAUAACUUCAGGAAACUGGGGCUAAUACCGGAUAGGAGCUCCUGCUGCAUGGUGGGGGUUGGAAAGUUCCGGCGGUUGGGGAUGGACUCGCGGCUUAUCAGCUUGUUGGUGGGGUAGUGGCUUACCAAGGCUUUGACGGGUAGCCGGCCUGAGAGGGUGACCGGCCACAUUGGGACUGAGAUACGGCCCAGACUCCUACGGGAGGCAGCAGUGGGGAAUAUUGCACAAUGGGCGGAAGCCUGAUGCAGCAACGCCGCGUGCGGGAUGACGGCCUUCGGGUUGUAAACCGCUUUCGCCUGUGACGAAGCGUGAGUGACGGUAAUGGGUAAAGAAGCACCGGCUAACUACGU
rnacentral:rRNA from 1 species